rnacentral:misc_RNA from 1 species
GAUGAAGAACGCAGCGAAAUGCGAUAAGUAGUGUGAAUUGCAGAAUUCAGUGAAUCAUCGAAUCUUUGAACGCACAUUGCGCCCUUUGGUAUUCCUUAGGGCAUGCCUGUUCGAGCGUCAUUUAAACCUUCAAGCUAAGCUUGGUGUUGGGUGACUGUCCGCUUCACGGCGGACUCGCCUCAAAAUUAUUGGCGGCCGGUACAUUGGCUUCGAGCGCAGCAGAAACGCGAACUCGGGCCCGCCGUAUUGGCUCCCAGAAGCUAUCUUCACAAUUUUGACCUCGGAUCAGGUAGGGAUACCCGCUGAACUUAAGCAUAUCAAUAAGCGGAGGA